rnacentral:rRNA from 1 species
CACGUAGGCACCAAGCGUUGUCCGGAUUUAUUGGGCGUAAAGCGCUCGUAGGCGGUUCGGUAAGUCAGGUGUGAAAACUUGGGGCUUAACCCCAAGCCUGCAUCUGAUACUGCCGUGACUAGAGUUCGGUAGGGGAGUGGGGAAUUCCUAGUGUAGCGGUGAAAUGCGCAGAUAUUAGGAGGAACACCGGUGGCGAAGGCGCCACUCUGGGCCGAUACUGACGCUGAGGAGCGAAAGCGUGGGUAGCAAACAGG